GCAGCGCCUGGCUGAUGGACGCCUGGGGCUGGCGCCCCGGGACUCCGGCGGUCCGUGCCGCCGCGCUGCCCC
rnacentral:tRNA from 1 species